AGUGAACGCUGGUGGCAGGCCUAAUACAUGCAAGUCGAACGGCAGCACAGUGGAGCUUGCUCCAUGGGUGGCGAGUGGCGGACGGGUGAGGAAUACAUGGGAAUCUGCCCAGUCGUGGGGGAUAACGUAUGGAAACGUACGCUAAUACCGCAUGCGCCCUUCGGGGAAAGUCGGGGACCGCAAGGCCUGACGCGAUUGGAUGAGCCCAUGUUCGAUUAGCUAGUUGGCGGGGUAACGGCCCACCAAGGCGACGAUCGAUAGCUGGUCUGAGAGGAUGAUCAGCCACACUGGAACUGAGACACGGUCCAGACUCCUACGGGAGGCAGCAGUAGGGAAUAUUGGACAAUGGGCGCAAGCCUGAUCCAGCCAUGCCGCGUGAGUGAAGAAGGCCCUCGGGUUGUAAAGCUCUUUGUUGGGAGAAAAGCAGUUGGUUAAUACCCGAUUGUUCUGACGGUACCCAAGAAUAAGCACCGGCUAACUUCGUGCCAGCAGCCG
rnacentral:rRNA from 1 species